rnacentral:misc_RNA from 1 species
AAUCCGUUUCCCUCCAUGACCAUGUAUUUCGAGUAAAACCAAUGCAAUCAAAGCACAAAAUGACAAGCAUCCAGUCCAUACUAAGAAAACUUGCAAAUCUUAAAAUUUCCAUGUAUGAAAACUGUUUAAGAGGUCUGUGAAACAAAUGGAUUAUCAUUGAAUAAGCUUUAUGCAGAUAAGUUUGAUAGUCUAACUCCCAUCCCAUUCUAUAAUCACUAGCUAGCGUAAGAGGGGGGAUUGAGAUGAUAGCUUGCCUAUUUUGAUGAUGGAUGCAUGUGAAAG